AUUGAACGCUGGCGGAAUGCUUCACACAUGCAAGUCGAACGGCAGUACGGGUGCUUGCACCUGGUGGCGAGUGGCGAACGGGUGAGUAACAUAUCGGAACGUACCCAGUAAUGGGGGAUAACUAACCGAAAGGUUAGCUAAUACCGCAUACGCCCUGAGGGGGAAAGCGGGGGAUCGAAAGACCUCGCGUUAUUGGAGCGGCCGAUAUCUGAUUAGCUAGUUGGUGAGGUAAAGGCUAACCAAGGCGACGAUCAGUAGCAGGUCUGAGAGGAUGAUCUGCCACACUGGAACUGGGACACGGUCCAGACUCCUACGGGAGGCAGCAGUGGGGAAUUUUGGACAAUGGGGGAAACCCUGAUCCAGCCAUUCCGCGUGAGUGAAGAAGGCCUUCGGGUUGUAAAGCUCUUUCGGCAGGGAAGAAACGGUUCUGGAUAAUACCCGGAGCUAAUGACGGUACCUGAAGAAGAAGCACCGGCUAACUACGUGCCAGCCGCCGCCGUAA
rnacentral:rRNA from 1 species